UUCGCCCCGCCUCGCUCCGCAGCUGCCACCGCCCGAGUCCGGAAGGGCGGAAAAUGGUUUUUUAAAAAUUAAUUAAAUAAAUAAAUAGUAAAAAAGGAAAGGAAAAAAAAAAAAAGAAGAAGAAGAAGAAAGAAAGAAAGAAAGGGGAGAGGAGGAGCGUUCUCGACGAGCUGCGCGAGACGUGCGGGGGAGCAGGUUCACAACAAAUGGAAAAUAUGUACAGUGAUAAGCACAGGAAGCUGCAAUUUUACACCUACAAGCUAAGAUGAAAGCGAGAUGUUUGUUCUGCUCUUGGCAAAAAAUGAGUUGUGUUUGUGCAGCCCCUUCCCAGCUGUUUGAGAAACACCCUGGGAAUUCCUGUUGGCUCCAGUGUGUAACCUGAUUCAUGGCAAGGAAUGCAUGAGGGAGAAACCCCAGCUUAUCAGAAAGAAGGAAAAAGUGCAGGUGGAGAACGGGAGAGGGAGGCUCACUUGAACUUUGGGCUCCCCUGUCACAUCCCUGGUUGGCUGCCAGCUCUCCUCUCCUUGGAGAAUUGGAAUCAGCUCCUCAGAGGUGAGAUUCACCUGGAGCGAGCUGCACCUCGUCCUCCUGCCUCCUAAAAAUGCUGCUAUCAUCAUUACUCUCAAAAGUGCUCUCUAGGAGGCAUUUUAUCUUCAUGAGAUGAGAUUUAUUAAGUUAAGAGCAAUACACGAAUCAGGUAUUGUUGACACAACUUGGUUUUCUUGACUCAUAAAGUAAAUUUUCUACUUUAUUGA